rnacentral:rRNA from 1 species
UACGUAGGAGGCAAGCGUUGUCCGGAAUUACUGGGUGUAAAGCGCGUGUAGGCGGCAGGCCAAGUCUGGGGUGAAAUCCCUCGGCUCAACCGAGGACGUGCAUCCGAAACUGCCGAGCUCGAGUAUGGAAGAGGGUCGCGGAAUUCCCGGUGUAGAGGUGAAAUUCGUAGAUAUCGGGAGGAACACCAGUGGCGAAGGCGGCGACCUGGGCCAAUACUGACGCUGAGGUGCGAAAGCGUGGGGAGCAAACAGG